rnacentral:rRNA from 1 species
UACAGAGGUCCCGAGCGUUGUUCGGAUUCAUUGGGCGUAAAGGGUGCGUAGGUGGGCUGGUAAGUCAGUGGUGAAAUCUCCAGGCUUAACUUGGAAACUGCCAUUGAUACUAUUAGUCUUGAAUACCGCGGAGGUCAGCGGAAUAUGUCAUGUAGCGGUGAAAUGCUUAGAUAUGACAUAGAACACCAAUUGCGAAGGCAGCUGGCUACACGAAUAUUGACACUGAUGCACGAAAGCGUGGGGAUCAAACAGG